ACUGCUUCCUGAGCUGAAACAUCCAUUGCCCCUCGUAUUCCUUCUGUAGAGCAAGUACUGAGGGAGGAUUGCAGGGCUGUAGUGAGAUUCAAAUGUUCACGUUUGAAACCCUAAAUUCCUGAGGAGGUUAUGUGAAUCGUCUAGCCACACAAGUGAUUUGCAACAUGUACCACCGGAAUAAACUUCUUGGAGGGGUUCCAACACUUGCUGGAAUAAAGCUGAUUGCAUUUGGAGACCAUUCCUUGGGCUGAGAGCUGUGGCCAAUUCCUUGCUUGACACGGCUACUGGACGGUGCACCCUCAUGUACUUUGGACAAGACUUUCAUCCAGCAGCUACUGGGUUCAUAUUGAGUUCUGGAGCACAGUAGCUUAAUUGGAGCAAGUGGAAAUCCAUGUCUGAUGAAUCCUGCUUUCAAAGCAUCAGUGAAUUUUGGCUGCCCACUGCUGUGUGCUACAGUAAUGAAACAAGCUAUUGGUUUGAGAUGAUGUCACCGUGAGCGGCCUUCUCCCCGUCCUGCCGCCACCUGUGAAUCCCAGUUCCCUGGCAGCACCACCAGUGGGGUGAAAGGAGAAAGGAGCCAUCACCACCCCGAGAACGGCUGAAAAACGAUGGACUAGACUGCAUGCAACAUAUCCCAGCCUGCUGGCAGGAUCUUUGGAGUAAAGAUUUACUGAUCAGAAGAUACUGUCGGUGUGUCCCACGUGCACAGCAUCCUGUGAUUGCAGAAGAACCUCAGACAAUAAGGGACCUUGGGCCUUUUUAUCCUCUCUUUAUAUGUUUAUGAAUCAGAAUCUUUGUGGGUGAAGAAAAUUAGCAGUGACGGGAGAUUUUAGUGCUGACUAGGAGGUCUCUGAUAUUCUGUUUGGGGAAGUUGGGGGGGCUUCACACAUUUCUACAGUGCAUUCUCAGGAAAACGUGAGCCAGAUCUGCACUGGGAAAAUGUUGGGUGCAUCUGAGGAGGUGGGAGGGGCCUUCUGCCACCUUUCCUCUAAACCCAUAGAUCCUGGGGGCACAGGUGAAUGCAGCCUUAAGGCUGCUCUAAUUUGUGCUAGAUGCAACAGGUUCCUAUGUAUGUUUCACAAGCUCAAGAUCUCCAGAGCACAAGGCUCUCCAGCCACACCCCUGGACCGCUCCCUAAACCAGGGCACUAAGAACCUGUGGCAUGUGGGGUGUUCUGGAGAUAAGUUGGUGGGAGCAAUGGAAUGAGGAGGCAUUACUUGUAUAAAGUGCCUAUUUUAUGCUAAACCAAGCAUUAAUGCAAACACUAAACAAUAUUACAAACUCUAACCAGUUCAAGUGAGUAAGUUUUGCAUAUAGACAUUCAACUAUGUACCUUGUCUCAGCGUCCUCCUGAACGCUGUUUCACCACGCUGGGAGUGCCCGUCGCUAUUUUGUUUUUCGUGGGGGUCAAAACAAAGUUCUGUGCUUUGGUGAAAAACAAAGAAUUUAGUCCAAGGUUCCUAGAAUCUAAUCUGGAAUGAGCCACAGAUUCCCUUGGUGGCCUUUGACAAAUGACAUUGCCCUAGGUCUAGUUGGAAAACAGAGUAAAGAAAGAUUUCCCUGAGGAUAAACACGCCCCCACACCCUCAUUUAAAAUGAUGGAGAACUUCUGAACAUUGCCAUGCAGUGAGCCAGAUCAGUGUGGCUUCUGGUGAAUUGGGUGCAUGCAUCUGAAUGCUAAAUUUGGCCGCCUAACUGGAUUUGGGGUACACUUUGUUGUGCUUGUAGAGCAGUAAAGAUUUAUGCUGAGGAAACUGACCUUGGAGAUUUCCUUCAGCUGAUUCAGGUGCAGAAUGUAAAGGACAGAAGUAAAAACAACCCCCCUCUACUUAAAACUAAGCUAAAUUAUUACUAAAGUUUGGAAAGCAUGGUUUGUCAUCCCCCAUCGCUAUAUAAAUGUUAUUCCUUUUAUUGGAUAGUGCAUAUAAUAUAACUCUCAUAUUGAUGAAUAGCUUAGCACAAGAGGACAGGGGAAAGAUGACUUUUUUUGCAAAAAUUUGCAUAUUGUGACUGAAUUGGCGCAGUAUGCAAAACCCCUGUACCACAUUCAAGGAUACAAGAUAUGAAAUGGAAUCAUCCUGUGUGUAAGUUUUAAUGAAAGUAAAACAUUCUGGGGAGAGAUUUGUUUUCACGUAAUUGAGGAAAAUAAUUUUAAGCUCCUCAGAAAUCCUUAAUUUCUAGCUGUUUCGGCAAAGAAACUAAAGAUUUUUAAAUAUAAUAUGAUCACACUAUAUUUGUAUGUUAAUGUGUUUGUAAGCAGUGUCAGGAUGAGCUCCACCCUGACAUCUGGUGGUGAGGUGUGGCAAGUCGUGGAAAAGAACUUCAAGGGCCAAUCUCAUUUGCAUAGGCACACCCACCCCGCCUAGAAUGAGGCCAUUGCUGCCCAAAUGGUCACUUUGGCUGCUGUGGGAUCCCCAGUGUUUCUGUUAUUGGGGCAGGAAGAAUAAAUUGUUAUUACCCUGAUUAUGGGAACUGUGCUUGGAACUGUACUUGGCCUUUUGUUAUGAUGGAGGGACUCGCCAUCAACUAAGUGGCAUUCUCUAGGCAAGGGUCAUGGGUUCCAAAACUCUGUGAAUUGAGAGUGGCUGGGGACAAGUAUUAAUACUUGGUGGCAUAGGCCCCUUGGUGAGGGCCUUACAUGCUAAUUGCACUUCCUCCUCUCUCCACUGUGGAAUAUCAGAGCUAAUUUUGAUUUCAUUAGAAGUCUAGUUACAGGCUGCUGAGCUCACUUUGGGCUAACAGUGCACCAGCACUGAGGCUCCCCUACUACAAGCUGAAUUCACCAAAGAGCUGAACUGACUAAGAGCUGAAAUCACUGAGCGUUGUGUUAAGUAGUGAGGGAGCCUGAAGAUAUAUUGUGGAGCAGUUUGCGGGACGGCUGGAGUGCCUUGUGGACAGGCUGGUGGAGCAGUUCGUAGGACGGCGGGAGCUGCUGGUGGGAUGUGGAGCAGUUUGUGGGACGGCGGGAGCUGCUUGUGGGCCGCGGAGUGGAGAAAGCUGAGCAAAGGAGUUCUUGGGGCGGCUGGCGGAGUGAAGGCCUAUGGAGCUGUGGGGCAGUCAGCUUCAGAUCAUGUAAGGUGCCUCUUACCCCCAUCCCAUCUCCACCCAGGUUGGGAGGUAAAGCUCCGCAGAUAAACUUUUGAACUCUGGGGCUGCCCUCAGGGACAGAGACUUUUGGGUCAUUGGACUUUUGGGACUUUGGGUGAUUUGGGGUUGCUGGACUCAAGAACCAAAGGGAAAGGGGCAUGCCCCAAUUUGCUUGGGGUGGGAUUUUUUUGCUCAUGGGUUGUGUUAUGAAUCCUGUUGGUGGUGUUUCCCCAACAUAAUGCCACAUUGUUUCUCUCUGUUAUUAAAAGGCUUUUUGCUACACUCAGACUAUGUGCUUGCGAGAGGGGAAGUAUUGCCUCUUGGAGGUGCCCAGCGGGGGUGGUAUAUAUUUGUCCCAGGUCACUGGGUGGGGGCUCGAGCCGGUUUGCAUUGUGUUAUUGGAAUGGAUCCCCUAGAUAUUGAACCCGGCCCUUGUUGCUGCCAACUCUGACAGGCAGAAGGGUUACAUGUUUAAUUGUUAUGGUUCAGUGCGACUGACCUACAAGCCCUGCCUGGCUUUCUUACCUCUAGUUUUAUUUAUAACACGUUUUUUUAAAUUUACUAAACAACUUUUUUUUCGCUUACCUUGUGAGUUUCUUGGUCAAGCUGUACCACAUGAGUGCAGAAAACGUUAAGCAACGACAGCUAAUUUGAGGGUGCUGUUUCUUUUCUCUUGGGCUUUGGUGCUUUCAUGGGUGAGGUCUGAUUUCAUUCACAAUUGGAGAGCGCUUGUCUCACAGAACGCCAGAGCCUGAGGAAUCUGGAAGAAGCUGAGUUCCAAGUUUCUGGCCUCUGUUCUGGGGGUGAGGCACUCGAUCUAAGUUAUUGUUUGCACACGACAACUAUCAAAAGCAGGUUCUCCACCAGUUCAGCCAAACAAAUAAGUUUGCCCGUAUCUUCUCUACUUGCCAGUUCUGCCAUCUAUGCAGCCUAUGACAUGGCUUUUGGUGGUUUUUAAAAUGCAAAAGUUAGUGACCGGGGCUGAUUUUGAGUAUAGUUGAGGUUCUCUCUGUCCCAGGUUUGCAUCCACAGGGAUGUUGUGAGAAUAAAUACACUAGAGAUUGUGAGGCCAUAGAAGUAGCACAGAUCGAAUCAGUCCAGUCUCCUUGCCCCGUCCAUUCCUUGGCCUCCCUAUUAAGACUUCCAGUGAGGGACUAAGAAGUUUCAUUCAGUGUGGUGAGUUUGUGAUGUUGACCCUCGUCUGCAGAACUUGAACAAAGACCCACCAGCUGUGUGGUCCCAGACCAAACAGAUGGGAACACAUCUCUCCCUGACGGUGUCUAGUUGGAUCCUGUGACCCUUGGCACGUUAUUGCUUAGGCGUGAAAAUAAAAAAUGGAGCUCUGUGACGCCCUUUCCUGACUGCAACAAUGCCUUUCUUUGGGGUGCUGGAUAAUACUCAGCACAAGUGGGAUUGGUAUUCAUGUCGCUGAAUGGGCCUUGGAAGUACUUUACCUCUGUGUUGGCCAGGCAAGGACUGUACAUCAGCAAUCGCAGGCAUAAUUAUAUUAUUCUCAGCCUGCCAAGAACGGCAGCUUUUUUGAGGUCUGUGGCUCUGGUGGUUACAAGCUGGUAUGCGGUAUUUACAAGGAGCUGUCUGACUGGGAGCCAAGUUGACAAGCCUUUCGUCAACAGGCUACACCAUCGGUUUAUAACGAUGGUGGAAUGUACAUUGCCACAGUUGCUGCCGUAAUUUGGGAAGUGUCCAUGUGUCUGAAUAAUAGAAACAGCAUUUAUCUGUCUCAUCAGCACUUUUAAUCCACCACUGCGCAUCGCAGUUAGCUGUGAUUUUCCAUUUCCAAAUGGAAAUUACCGAACACACUGGAGUUAUUUUCUGAAGUGGGAUAAAUUUAACAUAAGUACUUCCUGAUCCUAUGAGGUGCUGAGGCCCUUUGGUUCCCUUGAGGACACUCAGUCCUGUGGAGGACCGAGGGUUUUUUCUCUCUCAAGGGCUGUGCCCAGCUGUAGCACUGUGUACAUAAUGUAACAGUCAAGCUAUUAAUGUAAACUCUUUCAUGCUAUUGUUUUAAACUAUAUGUUGGGUGGCGUGGGGAUGAGAGCAAAUUGUGGCUGAUUUGCCGCUGUGACUGAGAUCCACUCGGUAUAGCAGAAGGGAGGGGAUGUAACAGGACUGAUUAUGGGUCCCUGGAUUAGCCCUGGCCCUGUGUAAACUGGUGCAGGCUGAGAGCUUCUCUAGCAUACAUAAAUUGGCAAAAAUAUCUUUCCCAGCUGAGGACAGUUAGGGGACCGGAGGGAGAGAUCACAGCUAGAGAACUGCUACACUCUAUGUUGGGCUGGGGGAUAGACUGUGUAAGGAGUUGACUAUCUUGCCUUUUUCUUCUUUCUUCCCCUCCCUAUGCUCUCCCUCCUCCCCCUCGAGGGAGUUCUCAGCUGUCUGGAUAUGACCCCUUAGAUACGAAAGGGCUGGAAUGGAGGAGGGAAGCUGGUUACUUGUUUUAUUCUCUAACUAUAAUGUUCAUCUGGGACAUACUCAGCUUACAGGUCAAAGGAUAAUGUUUCUAACAGCCAGGCCUGAGAACUCCACCUGGGAUCUGAAAGUUAAGCUGGGUUCGUCUCACCUUUGAUGAGAUCCCCGGUUUAAAAAAAAAGAAAAAAAGAUGUGGGUGAAACUUUGCUGGUAAUUCUGUGUAUGCGUCACGAGGGCAGAAUUGAAUCCCAUAGAUGCAUUAGCUCUGCAGAGCUGAAGCAUAAAAUUAUUAUUUAAUAUUGGUAUUACUCUAGCAUCUUGGAGCUAGUAUGCGGUAGUCAUGGACCAGAACCUUACUAUGCUAGUGGGUAGUUUUUGUUUUACAAAGAUUAUCACAUCUGUUGUGUAAAGACGUGCCCUUUAACACAGUCAUUGUUCUUACUAAAAAUAACACCUUUAAAAAAUGCCUGACAUCCUGUAGUCUCUAAAGUGUGUCUUUAAACAAAUGAUCUCCAUUAACACACUGCUCCAGCUGUUAGAUUAAUUUCUUUUUAAAAGUGGGACACUGUAAUUCCUUGCAAUGCUUAAUGUAGGAAUGAAAUUCCUGGAAAUAGUAAAGCAUGUGUACUUUGACCAACCUCUGUAAAAAUCCACUUAUUUCCUUAUGGUUGGUGAGCCAGAUCUUAUACUGAUUUGGGUUGCCAGGGGUAUAAAUCAAUGGUUCUUUGCCAGUGCACAGUUGUUUUACAGCAGUAACAAUUGAGACCCUGAUCCUGCAAUUGACUGUAUAUGGCACACCCCUAUUGAAGCCAGGAGAGCUUUGAAUGGAUGCUCUGACCCAGGAUCAGAACCUAAAUUUGUAAUUCUACCAAUCUCAUAUCAUACACACGCCUAAAACUGUAUUGUAUCUGGCACAUCCUACACUCUAUAAAGUGUUGCCCGGGUGUAUGCUUGCAAGUCAAGGUCUCCGCUCUACACAACACUCAGGCAAACCAUCAAUCACUAUAUUCUAACUUUUGUGUUGAGUUUCUUUCAGAGGUGGUAGUCUACAAGCCCAGGCAAAUCAGAUACCCGGGCUGAAGAUCUAACAUGUGAAAAGACCAGGGUCUUUAAAGUGAGUCCGGCCUGUCUACUUAACUUCAUGAUUUGGAUGUAAUAGAAGGAGU